UUCGGGGUGUAGGGGAGGUUUUAAGGGAUCAGAGAACAAGGGAAAGGAUUUAGAAAUGUUGACUUGGUAGGGUCUGAUUAGAGGGCUCCAAAUAUAACUAUCUAUGGUAAGGUGUGUUGAGAUACAUUUUAACCUGGGAUCAUCUGGGCCAGUGGACCCUUCACUAUUGAAAGAGGUCUGGCUUUCAGGUUUCAGUCAUGUCUUGGUCUUGUUUCUAAGGGGAGGAGUCUUUGGUUCUAGGUAUUGUUAAAAGUCAAAGAUUUUACUAUUGCGCAUGUCUGGUCUAUACGAUUUGCAGUUAUGUAGCUGUUGGCAGUGUGGGAGAAGAGUGUUGUUUCUCUGGCCAGGAAAUAAAUGAAAUGUGCUGGUAUCAGAGACUAAAUUCAUUGUAGCAUCCUGCUUCUGGUGCAGCCAUGAGCAGCAGGCUUCUCUGCUGUGUGAUCAUUUGUCUCCUAAGAGCAGACUUCAAGGACGCUAUAGUUACACAAUUCCCAAGACACAGAAUUAUUGGGACAGGAAAGGAAUUCAUUCUACAGUGUUCCCAGAAUAUGAAUCAUGUUGCGAUGUUCUGGUAUCGACAAGACCCAGGAUUUGGACUGAAGCUGGUCUAUUAUUCACCUGGCCCUGGCAGCAUUGAAAAAGGAGAUGUCUCUGAGGGGUAUCAUGUUUCUCGAAAUAAUAUAACAUACUUUCCCCUGACCCUGAAGUCUGCCAGCACCAACCAGACAUCUGUAUAUCUCUGCACCAGCAGUUCAGCCACAGUACUGCAUAGCCACAUCCUCUCUGCACAAAAAAGGUGCAGGCCAAAGAGGAAAAGCCUGCCCACAAAAUUCCUCACCCCAAAUAAGAGAAGUUUCUUCACAAGUAUUGGACAAAAAACGCCAAACUCUGUAAAAUAUUUGAAGAGAUUUAUUCUGAGCCAAACAUGAGUGAGCAUGGCCAGAGGCAGAAGCUCAAGAGGGCCUAAGAACAUGUGCCCAAAGUGGUCAGGCUACAGCUUCGUUUUACACCUUUUUAGAGACAUCAGACAUCAAUCAAUACAUGUAAGCUGUACAUUGGUUCAGUUUGGAAAGGUGGGACAACUCAAAGAGGGGGCUUCCAGUCAUAGGUGGAGUCAAGGACUUUUCAGAUUGGCAGUUGGUUGAAAGAGUUAUUAUCUAAAGACGUGGAAUCAAUAUAAAGGAGUGUCUGAGUUGUGGGGACCAACGUUCUUAUUAUGCAGAUGAAGCCUCCAGGGACCAGGCUUCAGUGAGAAUAGACUGUGUUUCUUAUCAGGCUUUAAAAGGUACUAGACUCAUAAGUUAAUUCUCUUCUGGAUCAGGGAAAAGACCUGGAAAGGAAAGAGAAUUAUCUAUAGAAUGUAUAUUUUCCCCAUAAUAGACAGCUUUGCAGGGCCAUUUAAAAAUAUGUCAAAAAAAUAUACUUUGGGGUAAAAUAUUUUGUUUUUUUUUCAGAGCCUGCUAUCAGUCAUAUUGAUAUUUUAUUGCUACAAUGUGUCUGUUUUACCACUCUUAAGGUCUCCAUUUUAAUAUUAUUGGCUGUCACAGAGAGACAAUGAGAUUUGCCCUUAGUUCCUUACAGUCUCUUUCUGAUUCCCUUGAUCUGAAUUCAAAUACACAUCAAAUCUGUCUCAUGUUUGAAAUCCUUCUGAUCUCCACUUCUGCUUCAAGACAGAGAAAAACUCUGCUUUUAAAGGGCUUUGGUGAUUAAGUUAGGCUAACCUGAAUAAUAUUUAUUUUAUCAAAGAAUGUAACAUAAGUGCUUGAAUGACAUCUUAUUAUAUUUUUAGGCUCCAUUCAUGCUCAAGUGAAGGAGAUUAUACAUGGGCAUGAGUCAUUAGAGGUCAUUCUUGGAAUUCUGCCUAUCACACCAAUGGAGAUCAAAUGCCAAGAAAGUCAGGAAUAGAAAUUUGGAAAGCAUACAAUCAAAUAUACUAAAUUAGAAUUCAAAACUACUCAAGAUGGUUCAGAGUUUUGGCCAUGCAGUGGAUCAAAUUUUCUUACUACUGCUUAACCAAGGACACAGUACAAAAGUAGAAUGAACUGGUCUUUAUCAAAACAGAACAAAGACCAUAUUUAAAAAGGAAAGGCAAGAAGGUGGAAUAGAUCUGGCUUUUACUUGAAGGACACUGGAGAUUCAAGUUAAGAAACGGAAUUGUCUUAGUCCCCAAAUUAACAAAAGAGAAGAAAGAUGAGACCAGAACCUUUGUCAAUGAAAGAGCAGUGAAGUGGAAAGGCAGAAUGGAGGGUGGAGAGCACGUUUCUGAAGAGAAUAAACUUAGUUGUCAGAUGAAAAGAGAUAAAUAGUUAGCUUUGUCCUUACAAAUUUUGAGGUAACUUAUGGAAAUACUUUUUCUUAUCAGUUGAUUAAUUUGGGGGGAGGUAGCACAAUCCUUCGAAAUUCCAGUGAGUAGAAAAUUAGGCUCAACCUCAAGAUGAAGCCUCGAAAAAGCAAUGUCUGUUCGAAUCCAGUUAACAGGAGAACAUCUACUGUGAUUUUAUUAUCAGCAAGCUGGUGAAAACUUCCUGAAGAAGAAAUAUGGGAUGAUCCAGAAACCGAUUAAAGUCUCAGAACAACAAAUAGUUUCUCUUCUCGUGAAUUAAUUCACCCUUUCACAAUUAAACAGAGAUAACUCAGGGUACCUUAAAUACUGAUGAGCUUCACAGAAAUGAAUUGCCACCCAAUUCCAUUGAUGGAGAAAGAUAAGAAAAUGAGGAAGGAAAAGGUACUUUCAGAGAGAAGAAUUGUUGAGAAGGUAGCAGUCCUUUCUCCUUUCUCUUUCCAUGAGAUAGUUGCUAUUCAUAGCUCUAUGAUGGGGACUGGGAACACAAGAAUCACCACUCAUGGAUUAAUGAAUUCAAGAUCUGUACCUUCCAUUUUGAUUCCAUAUUUGAACUUAAAUUUAUUCAGGACACCAACUGAACACUUAAAGUUAAAACUCAUAUCAUAUUUCCCUCCCAAGCUGUAUUUCCUCUGAGUUCCUGACUUGAUGGAUUAUUUAUCUGUACAAUAUAUGAACACAGAGAGUUAGGCCUUAUUUGCCUUGGACACCCAAUUUGUAUGUAAGCUCUUUCAUUUCUAACUCCUAAAUAUUUUAGUUCUUUAUUUAUUAUCUCAAUCACUGCAACCACUGCCAUGUUUAUGCCCUUUUUACUAGCUUACCAAAUAAAUACGAAAGGUCUCA